rnacentral:rRNA from 1 species
GUCUAUGGCAGUGCCACCCUAAACGAGCUAGAUGUCUGAUCUCGGAAGCUAAGCAGGUUUGGGCCUGGUUAUUACUUGGAUGAGAGACCACUUAGGAAGACCAUGUGCUAUAGGCA